UACGUAGGGAGCAAGCGUUGUUCGGAUUUACUGGGCGUAAAGGGCGCGUAGGCGGCGCGGUAAGUCACUUGUGAAAUCUCUGAGCUUAACUCAGAACGGCCAAGUGAUACUGCAGUGCUAGAGUGCAGAAGGGGCAAUCGGAAUUCUUGGUGUAGCGGUGAAAUGACGUAGAUAUCAAGAGGAACACCUGAGGUGAAGACGGGUUGCUAGGCUGACACUGACGCUGAGACGCGAAAGCCAGGGGAGCAAACGGGG
rnacentral:rRNA from 1 species